CACUCCUGCGGGACUUACGCCCCUCCUCCCGGUGCAUUCAGGAACAAGGAAGUUUUGGAUGGUGAAGGGAAGGACCCAGAGCCCAGUACAGUUACAAGGAGAAGGGAAAAGGGCCAGACCAGUGGGGAACAAAGUGCCUGUGAGAUGGUGGUGCCCUCCCCAGAAGAGAAGCAAAGACCUAGGAUAGAAAUCCAAGCCUCUACGCCCUGCCCAGCAAUGGAUCACCCUGGAUUGAAGAGGCAUUAAGGAUGUAGCAGUGAACAAGACAGAUAACUUCCUGGAGCUUACAUCGAAAUCCUCCAGCCCCACAGAGGAAGACACCUUAAAAUUGUUCAAACUCAUUUCACACCACAGACAUGCUCCAGCCAACAGUGGCAUCUCCUCCGUACUGCCUCUGUCAAGGUCACAGCACUCUGUGCUCCAAGUGAAGAAAAUCUGAGGCUUUGACUCUGGCUCUGUGUCAACUGCUUGGAAUGAAAUGAAACGAGGAAUCGCUCUCACACGCCCAGAGCUCCCUGGGUCCCUGCAUGGCUGCCCCCCCAGGGAUCCCAAACGUGGGAACUCCUCCUGGCCCCUACUUGUCUCCUGCGGGCCCUCUCUCCUCCGGAUGUGGACAACCUCAAAGGAACAGGGAGAACUGUGGUUGCUGAGCCUGCUUUCGAGGUGAAGGGGAGCUCUUACUGGAUGGAGAGGGGAUCUUGGGGGACCUCUCUGACCUUAGGCCAGCCCAGGCCUGGGCGUGCACGGAGCAGGGCCAGGCAGCAAAGGUUCUACCUGGCAGCGGUCUGGGGAUGCCAAACACUGAAGCAGCCACCUCGGCGGGUUCCCCAUGCUCGGACCCCGCAGGGCCCCUCCCCUUCCCCACGUGUCGCUGUGGUUGCCGGAUGAGGCCUCGCAGCCAUGUGGGCGGCCCAGCGCCUUUCCAAAGGAAUAGGAGCCGGCAGGCAGGCCAGAUGGAAGCAAUUACAGGCGGGAACGCCGAGCCGAGCCGGGAAGCGGGAGGGUGGGGGCUGGGAGAGGCCGACAAGGAGGAGGGGAGGGGAGCCAGGAGCGAGGCGGGAACCCAGGCCUGUCCAACCCAAGCGGGCUGCGAAGCCCAAAUUCAGGGUGCGGGCAGGGCAAGGAGGCAGGAUCCCACCCAGAAGCGGGGUUUGUAUCACCAGCCCUCGGGCAAAACCGUUCACACCUUGGAGUCCAAGGCCCCUUUCUUUUUUCAUCACAGACCAAACAGGUAGGACAAGCUCCAGCUCAGGGGCGCAGGCGAACGGGACCUAAAAAGCUGAAAAGCGGAGGUUUUGGAAGAAGGCUUGGGUCUGUCUCGGUUUGGCUGCUUAAGAGCUGUGUGACCUCAGCUCUGCGGUUUAAUCUCCCCAGCCUCCACGUCGUCAUUUCCAAAUGGGCUUAAGUGGCAGGCUAACUGAAGGGAUAUAAUAAGUGCCCAGGGGCUGGGGAUUUAGCUCAGCGGCACAAGCGCCAGUCUGGCCAAUGCGAAGUCAUGAGUUUGAUCCCCAGUACCAAAAAAAAAGCACAUUUAAAAAAAGUUAAAAUAAAAAAAAUUUUUAAAUGUG